GAUCUCAAAUCAGGUAGGACUACCCGCUGAACUUAAGCAUAUCAAUA
rnacentral:rRNA from 1 species